rnacentral:rRNA from 1 species
UGGGGAAUUUUGGACAAUGGGCGAAAGCCUGAUCCAGCCAUGCCGCGUGAGUGAGGAAGGCCUUCGGGUUGUAAAGCUCUUUUAGCCGGAAAGAAAGUGUUGCAAUGAAUAAUUGUGAUUUAUGACGGUACCGACAGAAAAAGCACCGGCUAACUACGUGCCAGCAGCCGCGGUAAUACGUAGGGUGCGAGCGUUAAUCGGAAUUACUGGGCGUAAAGGGUGCGCAGGCGGUCUUGCAAGUCAGAUGUGAAAGCCCCGGGCUUAACCUGGGAAUUGCGUUUGAAACUACAAGGCUAGAGUGCAGCAGAGGGGAGUGGAAUUCCAUGUGUAGCAGUGAAAUGCGUAGAGAUGUGGAAGAACACCGAUGGCGAAGGCAGCUCCCUGGGUUGACACUGACGCUCAUGCACGAAAGCGUGGGGAGCAAACA